CGUAGGGCGAGCGUUGUCCGGAAUUAUUGGGCGUAAAGCGCGCGUAGGCGGCUGGUUAAGUCCUGUGUGAAGACCACGGCUCAACCGUGGGGUGCACGGGAAACUGGCCGGCUUGAGUGCAGGAGAGGGAGCGGAAUUCCCGGUGUAGCGGUGGAAUGCGUAGAGAUCGGGAGGAACACCAGUGGCGAAGGCGGCUCCCUGGCCUGUAAACUGACGCUGAGGCGCGAAAAGCGUGGGGAGCGAAACAGGAUU
rnacentral:rRNA from 1 species